UUUACUGCUGGUAUUGAAGAGCCACUGACUUUGAGAAUUACCAUAUAACCAUUUUCUAAUACUGAAAUGUAGGAUCCAAAUGAUUUAAAUUACUAUAUCAACUCACUGGGGAUCUAAUUAAUUUACAAAGAGGAAAGACAACUUCAUAAAAUCAAAAGAGAAUCAUAUACUUGUGUUUCAUGCUCCACACUCAUAUUUUAGGAUAUAAUGCAGAAAUAAAUAUUUAAAUUCAGAGAAAAACAGCUAAUACUACACUUUCCAUAUCAGUGUCUUCUGGCCUGAUGUCACAAAAUUGAGGGAGGUAGGGGAAGGCAGUAUUUUAAAAACCAAUGAUUGCUGUAGAGUUCUGGCAGCAUGCAUAUUAGUCUGGCACAAAGUGAACAGCAAUACAUACAGUGGCUAUACAAA
rnacentral:lncRNA from 1 species